rnacentral:rRNA from 1 species
UUAAAUUGAAGAGUUUGAUCAUGGCUCAGAUUGAACGCUGGCGGCAGGCCUAACACAUGCAAGUCGAACGGUAACAGGAAGCAGCUUGCUGCUUCGCUGACGAGUGGCGGACGGGUGAGUAAUGUCUGGGAAACUGCCUGAUGGAGGGGGAUAACUACUGGAAACGGUAGCUAAUACCGCAUAAUGUCGCAAGACCAAAGAGGGGGACCUUCGGGCCUCUUGCCAUCGGAUGUGCCCAGAUGGGAUUAGCUUGUUGGUGGGGUAACGGCUCACCAAGGCGACGAUCCCUAGCUGGUCUGAGAGGAU